UUAUUUUAGCUUAUUGUGUUAGUUUGGGCUGGAAGUUACCGGUAGUUCGAUUAUUUGUCUCUUUUGUUUGUUUUAGGAUUAGUUGACCUUUUUUAGGUAGUUUAGGGGGAGACGCGGGGAGCGACGGCCCUUUGCCAGGUUGGUCCAGCGUCUUCCCAUCUUCUGUUCUUUUUGGCCGGGAUCUCCAGUCCCUUUUUUUUCUCCUUGGUUGUUACUUUUGGGAAUAUCUUUGAAUAAUUUAAAGUGCUCCUAUUAUGCUCAUUUUCAGGUUCAUAAUUGUAUUUAGAGGCUGUACCAGAAUAGGUUUACAUGGUUUAAUU